UACCAGACUCCUACGGGAGGCAGCAGUGGGGGAUAUUGCACAAUGGGGGAAACCCUGAUGCGGCGACGCCGCGUGGGCGAAGAAGUAUUUCGGUAUGUAAAGCCCUAUCAGCAGGGAAGAAGAAAUGACGGUACCUGAGUAAGAAGCACCGGCUAAAUACGUGCCAGCAGCCGCGGUAAUACGUAUGGUGCAAGCGUUAUCCGGAUUUACUGGGUGUAAAGGGAGCGCAGGCGGCACGGCAAGCCUGAUGUGAAAGCCCGCGGCCCAACCGCGGGACUGCAUUGGGAACUACCGGGCUGGAGUGCCGGAGAGGUAGGCGGAAUUCCUAGUGUAGCGGUGAAAUGCGUAGAUAUUAGGAGGAACACCAGUGGCGAAGGCGGCCUGCUGGGCUUUUACUGACGCUGAGGCUCGAAAGUGUGGGGAGCAAACAGGAUUAGAUACCCUAGUA
rnacentral:rRNA from 1 species